UCCCCAGUAGCCUACAUGUCAAAGCUUCUCUCCUCACCUUCUCUUCUCCUUUCUUUCUCCCACUCUCUCUCUCUAACCUAUGGUGUUCGGUUUUGGUGAAGUGAAAGUUGGUGGAAAAGGUGUGGAGUGGCUGUUUUGAGCUGAGAAGAGGAGGUUUGAGCAGGGAAUUGGCUGGUGGAGAGGCAACCUAAGAUCCUAGUGUGAGUGGAGCGGUCGAGGAUCGUGACAAGAGCCCAGUAUCUUAGCUAGUGGACUCCCGAGUAUAGUUAUGUACCCUUUUUGGUUUCAUGAUGUAUAUAUUUGAUGAAAGGAAUUAUGUAAAAAUGAUGUAUGAAUGAGCAUGUAAAUGUUGUAAAUAACUAAAUGUAAUAGUUAUCCAGCCUUGUAUUUUAUUAAAAACUUCAAGAUACAGUAAAUGCAUGUUUAGUUAGUUUA